GAUGAACGCUGGCGGCGUGCCUAACACAUGCAAGUCGAACGAUGAAACCGCCCUCGGGCGGACAUGAAGUGGCGAACGGGUGAGUAACACGUGACCAACCUGCCCCUUGCUCCGGGACAACCUUGGGAAACCGAGGCUAAUACCGGAUACUCUUCGCCCCCCUCCUGGGGGGCCCGGGAAAGCCCAGACGGCAAGGGAUGGGGUCGCGGCCCAUUAGGUAGUAGGCGGGGUAACGGCCCACCUAGCCCGCGAUGGGUAGCCGGGUUGAGAGACCGACCGGCCACAUUGGGACUGAGAUACGGCCCAGACUCCUACGGGAGGCAGCAGUGGGGAAUUUUGCGCAAUGGGGGCAACCCUGACGCAGCAACGCCGCGUGCGGGACGACGGCCUUCGGGUUGUAAACCGCUUUCAGCAGGGAAGAAAUUCGACGGUAC
rnacentral:rRNA from 1 species